GUGCCAGCAGCCGCGGUAAUACGGAGGGGGCUAGCGUUGUUCGGAAUUACUGGGCGUAAAGCGCGCGUAGGCGGCUUCGCAAGUCAGAGGUGAAAGCCCGGGGCUCAACCCCGGAAUUGCCUUUGAGACUGCGUCGCUAGAAUCCGGGAGAGGUGAGUGGAAUUCCGAGUGUAGAGGUGAAAUUCGUAGAUAUUCGGAAGAACACCAGUGGCGAAGGCGGCUCACUGGACCGGUAUUGACGCUGAGGUGCGAAAGCGUGGGGAGCAAACAGGAUUAGAAACCCCCGUAGUCC
rnacentral:rRNA from 1 species